UGGCAAUAAACAUAUAACCUGAUAUGCAUUCUUCAUUUCUUUUUUUGGGUCAAAUGCAUUUGAACAACUAGGGCUGUUGACAGUAAAAUUUUGGCUAUGAAGGACUGAUAUAGAUUGUUUGAGGAAGUAUGAGGACUUGAUUGAUGAAAAAUAAAGUUUGAGGACUCAAUUAGAAUUGUAAGUAAAGUUUGAGUGCUUUAUGUGUAAUUGUUCCUUAUUUCAUUAAAG
rnacentral:misc_RNA from 1 species